CUCUUUAUAUUCUAAGAAUUGUCAGCCCUUGUCAUUUUACUUCUUACGCGGGAUUUAUGGACAAAAGUUAGCCCGGAUUACUAAAGAUCUUUGUUGCGGGAAAAGGAGGGAUUUGCUGAGUUCAAAAGCAAGAGUACUUCAGUGAAAAAGCACAAAAUUCAUUCCCAGUUCAAAGUGAUACACAAACAGCUUGUUGCUAAUGAAUUCACAAAAUAAAUGGUUGCUAGGUAAAUCGUACUUUUUGCAGUCACAUAUGGCUUGUAACUAUUCUCGGUGUUAUCUUACAACUACUCUUCCUUUCUCUCCUUCGGAAGAACUAGUCUUUGAAGCAAGAGAUGAACAUAUUGUGGGUGGAUCUUCUUACCCAUUGAUUGGAACAUCGUAAAAACUCCGAAGAUCCUUUUCACUAUAGUUAGUGACGUAUCCAAAUUCUGUAUACUAUUGGUGGACGGGACAUUCCCCGCUUCCUUCUGCUUUGUUUUCACGAAGCGAGCGCUUUCAACAAGCUUCUUUUCUUUGGUAAUAAGCAAAAGUGUGUAAAGUCCUCCGUUUUAUCACUGGGAAAGCUUUGUUGUCUUCGUUUUCUUUCUGCCGUAGUAUAUCACCGCAUAUGAUCUGGCCUUUAAAGUGGGUUAGUAAGAAAACUUACCUUUCUGGGUAAGUGCCCUUUUAAUGUUUAAGAGCUAGUUGAGCAGUAAAAUAGAAAUAAGAGCUGCUAAAACAAUAUCCUUUUUCUUAAAGUUCCUACGAUGCUAGUUUUUAACAGGCAUAUACACUCAGAUAAUGCAGCAAGAGUUCCCCACUACCAAGUAAGCUCUUUCUACUUGUUCACCUAGAUGAAAACUACCUGGCUUUGUUUGGCUACUUUUUUUAUUGGCUAGUGUGAUUUUAUAUCUUAGGCUAGACUCGCUUGAGCUGUCUUACAUUAGUGGGGCUAUAUGUGAAUCGCAGAGGUCUGUAAAUUAAGGCAAUAGGCGGGCACAUUUGAAAUGCAGCAGUAGUGAGCUCCUAUAGAAAAUCAAAAAUUCAAUAAAAGGUCAUAAUGGUCGGAAGCUGUUCACUACUUCAGAACCAUCCAGAAGGCAAGAGAAAAAAGCACCUGAGGUCAGGUGUUUCUUAGGAGUUCAAUAUGUUUCAUGUGUGUUUUUGCAAAUCUUUUUUCUUCACUGGUCCUGCACGCUUGAUAAAAAGGAUCUGGUGUCUAUGCCAUUUUGGUAAACCAUAUAGAUCUUGCCCAAACAAGGAGUAGGGGCUAGCUUGUAAGCCACGACUUAGUACUACGAGGAUUUGGGCAGAGUUUCACAUAUAGAUAGGUCGGGAUGAAGAUGAGAAAUAGGUUCGGUUGUGAAUCUGGGUCAAGAAAUGGGGGUUAUGCGCCAGCCUAUCAAGCAAGCCGAAUAGGCGCGCCUGGAUGAUCAAUUCCUUGGUUUUUUCUUACCUGACCGAGAGACGGGGCCGAUAGAGCAUAUUCCGGACAAGUUGGUUCGAUUCGCAGUUCACUUUCUAUAAGAUAACAAAACAGCAGACCCGCCCCAUGCUUUUCUUUACACUGACCCAGCAUUCCCCUUUGCAUUUCUUCCAGGCACAAAGGGAUUCGUUUUUAUGAGAAGCGAGUUGUUCUAGGCUGGGCCGAUCCCUACCCGUUUUGAUCUGACAGCGGACGAACAGAGAAACGUGGGUCUUUUUCUCGCAUUUUAGCGAUCAAUACCGAAUCCUCAUCUAUGCAAUUCUUGUACUUAUUUGAUGAAAGACAAAGAAAGAGAUCAGGUUAUUUAUGAUCGGAGAAAAGGAAACGAUCAAACCGCCUACACCUAUUCCAUUGGUUAACUAUUCCGGUUCUAAUCUGGAAUCGUAGUGAGAGUAUCUAGCAUACAUUUGUACAUUCUGAACUAAGUUCUACUAAUUUCUUCUAAGAUAGUGGUGUUCUCAUUCCCGCUUGCACUAACGAACUGUGAUGUUUACGGAUGAGAAGUAGGCUGUUGGACAGAUGAUGCUUGUAUUGCCAGCCUUCAUCGGCUCCGAGGUGUGGCCGGGUGAGCAGUCUGCGGAACGUUUCACUGCCUGGCCCCCAGGGUUUCUGAGUGCUAGGGAACCUCCUUAGAAGUAGCUAUAUUGGAAUACCCCGCUGACUUCAGAUUCUGAUUGGCUGGAGGUGAAGACCUAAGCAUUGGCUUACACUGACUCCUCUAUCAAAAGAAAGGGUACAGGCACUAGACAAAUUACCUACUGGUAAUGUAAAGGGAGGACCAGAGCUGCCACAUAGGGCAGUUUUACAUCGAUAGCAGGUAAAGACAGAUAGUCAGACCUACCAAUAUAGUUAAGUUGGACCCGAAAGACAGCUUCACAAGACCAUGCAAUAGUUUACUUGUUCUUUUCUUAGCACUUUAUCGAAGAUAUAUCGCUGAUUAUAAAAACAAAUUGGCAGAGCUUGCAUUAGUGUAAAAUCAAACUAAACAUGCUAUUGGGUUAAGAAGAAGAGGUUGGUGAGGAUGAGGAAGAUCCACAGGAGGAGUUAAGCAAUAGUGCAACAGAAAAGCAAUUAGAACCUGAAGAAGCAUUAAUCUCCAUGUUUGCUAUCUCCUCUGACCCUAAUCUCUUUUGUUUGCUACUAUGAUCAAUUUGGCAUUUCGAUCAUCUUUUGUUUUGAAGGUACUUAUAACAACCAAUUGAGCAUAUAUCUGUACAUGCUGGUACGCGUGAUUUAGUACUAGAGACACAUUAUUACCUAAUGCUGCUGAUAAUGUACUGUCUUUUAUAGUUACAAACAACCUAUGUUUCCAUCUUUUUAAAGCUGUUUACUAGUUAUCUGUCCGAGAAACAAACUAUCACACAAUUAAAGCCCGCAAUGCACAGAACAUAAGGCACAUACAUACCACUUUAGCACACUUUACAGAACACGAGUGCAACAUACCAAUUCUAGAAAAAACACAUAAACAGAAUCCAAACAAAGCCACUUAAGAAUAGGCAAGGGACACACCGUCCACGCCACCUACUUGAAGAGCAGAAAAGAGUAUAGUUAGUGUAAGGAAAGUAUUAUAGGAAAGACCCUAUAAGUUCAGACAAUAUGCUACAUUCUAUGAUAUCCUAUUCAAUCCCUAGGUUAGCAUGCGUUGCUCGUCGUGCUAAUAAAUCCUCUCUUCUUAAAGCCCAAGUAGGACAAAGAAAUGCAAGUAAAUACCCUCGAUUCAUUCCUUUUAUGCGAGUGGGAAAGCUAGCUAGAAAUCAAUGACAAGGAGUAGAGCCUAGAGCAAAAGGGCCUGGUGUCAGGUUAGUUAAAGCAAGAAAGUCAAUGCUGGUGCUUGCUUAUUCAAUCCUUUUUUCUCUCCUCCUUUGUGCUAAUCACUAGGUCAAAAGGAACCCUUAAUAUGGAGUUUUAUACUUGUUCUUACUUGUGUUAGUGAAGCCGGAUAGUUCAACUUGCCUGCCCAAAGUCAAUCUAUGAAAAGUCUUCCUUAUAGGCGCACCCAGUUGUAAGAGAGUAGAAGCAAUCGGAGUAAAUAAAUCCCAUAGUGAAAUGAGCGUUAGAUGUUGACUAGACAAAACUAGCUAAUACAUGUAGUAGGGUAACUUUUCCUUUUUUCUUGGUUAUGUGAAAAGGGAGAAAACUCGCUACACUUUAUAGGAAAUGAACUACUCUUAAUGCAAGCUAGUCGAGCUGGAUGAGUUGUUAGGAAUGGCUCAACCCAGGCAGCACUAAACCUUUCUUUUCCAGGCAAAUCUCUCACUUCAAUCUUUCUGGGCUAGCUAUGUUCUCGGACCCCACCAGAGUAGGUUUCACCAUCGAGUAAUGAAGAUGUUAACUUCUAGUACAAGCAAGCAAAAUCUAAUGCCCGAGAAAGAGGGAAUGGCAUUGAGGCUUCAUCCUUGGAAGAAGACGGGAGUGCUACUAGGGACAAACAGAGUUCUGGGGCCAGAGGAAGGGGAACAAAAGGUAGAAUAUGCGGGUUAUCGUAGAAUCUCUGAGUGGCGAUGCCCUCUACUACCUAAUACUAAAAGAAGGGGACUUUGAAAGCCAAAGCCAAGAAAGACCAUAUCAACUACUCUCCAAAUUGCAGGAUAAGUCACAGAAUUCAAAUGGAAGACAGAAAGAGAAGGAAAUUCAAACCUAAUGGCCAAACAUUACGAAUCCAAGACAGAAAGACUUAUAGCCAUAAAAGAAUAACAAGAGAACAAAAACAACUCCAUAUUCUACUGGCCUGCCUCUCUGAUCUACUAUCCAACUGCCAUGGAAGCACCACUGAAGACUGGCUUCUCUGACCUUCCACCCGAUCCUGGGCGAUCCCGGAUCGACAAGCUGACGGUAUGGAUUCCCUAUAUAUGGAUGGUAGGAACGCUUCAACUGCAGAGCCCUGAAUGCGUCAGUGAGGUUCCUCUGUGAGAGAAAGAGAGGUUGCUAAUCUUGGAUCAGACGGCGUGUUGGUAUUAUUGAUAAGGCUUGGAUUAGCAAAUUAGCACCGCUUGAGUUUAGGUAUUCGAAAUAGCGAAAUACAUAAAUUAUCUAUCUCAAGUACGUCUCCAACUUAUCUUGAGCCAUCAGUCAGAUUAAAAGCAGCGCCCUGCCGGUAGCUCCUGACCUCUGUUCCUAUGGGAGAAAGAAGGUGUGGCUUUGGACCCCAAACUCUUCCAUGACGGCCUUCUUCCACUCAUUUUAUUAGCAAUCAAACCUCUUCCCUGCUCUUGCACUGAGGUAAGCAUUCAAAUAGCAAAGCAAGGGAAAAAAUAUGGUAUGUAUUUUUUUAAUCUACAUACAGAGAAAGCGGAUGUGCCCUUAUUAGCGCAGUUGAAAAUAAAAUAUAUAACGCGUAGUUGCAAGCUUUCUUUCGUGAGCUAGCUAUGUUUGCUUCCUCUUUUCCUCUCUGUUUCGGAUGUCAACCCAAUCUCUGAUUCAAGUCCAUAAGUUCCUUUUUUAUAGCUCCUGUUGCUCUUCUCUGGCUAGGAUCUCACUUAUAUGGCCUUUUUUUUUCUUUUAUAUAUUAUAUAGUAAGCUUCAAUAGAUAGCGUAGUAGGUGCUGUCUCUAUUUACUUUCUUUCUUACGCCUAGGUGCUACCUUUUUUCCAGUUCCGUAAGUCCCAUAGAGUUAUUUUUUAUCUUUGAUUCCCAAACGCUGCGCGCAAGUCAAGCUUACAGAAUUCCUGCCGGGGCGCCUUCUUUCUUAUGCCAGCCAAGUAGCAAUCAGAAAACCAAUCAAUCUUCCUUACACUACGACAAUUCACUUGAACUACCAACAUCAUGAGUGACCCAGGCCGGUCGUAUAUGCGUCAUUUCUCCUCAUCCUUGUCUCUAUUUGUUAAUUGCUCGCUACCCGUAGUGGGCCUUGAGUAGGUGUCACACCCUGAAAAUUUCAAAAUAUAUAAAUUGUUGUUUAAAUGGAAUUUUUAGAAAUAAUUUUAAAAGUCUUGAAGAGAAGAUCUAGUUUUAAUUAAUAAAUUCCAAUAUAAAAUGGGGCAAGAUAAAAUUUCAUUAAAUACUUUGCUUAAUUCUAUAAUUCCUAGAUUUUUCUGGGAUUUAUUUGAGCUAAGAAAGUAUUUUUAAUAAAUGGAAUUGCAUUUAAGAAAUAAUUUAAAUUGAAAAAGGUUUUAAAAAGUCUUCUUUUGGCUUUGGGCCGAAAGUCGGCCAAAAUCCCUUCUCUCUCUCCUCGGCCCAGCCGGCCCAGUCCGCAGCCGCAGCCGCCCGCGCGCGAGUGCGCUGUCGCUGACAGGUGGGUCCCACCUAUCGGGAUCGUCGUCUACCUUCGGCCGCCGCCGCCGAAACCCUAGUUUCGCGCCGCCGCCGUUUCCUUUCCAAAUCUCCGGCCGAAUUGAAAGAGGGGAAAUGAUCCUCGGGAUCUCCUCUACCUUUUCUCCUUUGGAAUCUUUGGCUAAAUCGUUUUGGAAAGAGUUGGAUUCGAGUUCGUCUCGGAUUUGUUCUUACCGAGCUUUCCUUCGCCGUUGCCGUCGCCGUGGGCCUUCGCCGCCGCCUCCGAGCCCCUUUAAAAGGACCCCGGUGUCUCCUCUACCCGCCGCCACCCUCGCCUUCGCCUCUCGUCGCCGGUUUCGCUCUAGCGCCGUGUGCCCUAGCUUCGCCGUCGCCGCCGCCGCUCCAGCCGUGCUCCGCCGCCGUUCCAGACGCGCCGUCGCUCGGGAAGGACGUCAUCGUGGUCGCCGUCACGUCGCCGUCCUCGUCCGCCCCUUCGCCGUCACCGGAGAUCGUCGGAGCUUCGUCGCCGUCGACAACCCGAAGGUUUCCGCCGUUUCCUCCUCGCCGCCGUCGUCGUCCGUUGUUCUUCCGCCGCCGUUUUGGUCACCGGUGUGUUCGCCGCGUUGUCCUCUACGUGCUGGUGCCCUCCGUUUGCGUCCUCGCGCCGCCGUUCGCCGGCGAGCGUGCGCCGUCCGAGCCGUCCGCUCCGUCGAGUCGCCGCCGCUGUCGGUGACGUCAUUGCCGACGUCAUCGGGGUUGUCCGCCGUGAGCCGCCGUGGACCCGAUCGAUCUCGGCCGUCCGUUUUGGAUUGGUUCGAUCUCGGCCGUCCGUUCGCGUGAACCGCCGCCCGUGCGCCCGGUCCACCAAAACCCUAGCCCGCUGACGCAAUAAACCUUCUUUUCCUUUUCAAAAAUAAUUCAUUAUUGCGUCAUAAUUCAAUUUAAACCGAUAUAAGUGUUUUAAUCCGAUUUAAUCUUUAAAAAUUCAUAACUAAUUCAUCUUAGCUCCGAUUUAGUUGGUUCAAGUCUCUAAAUUUUUCUAAAAUUGAGAUCUACACAUUAAAAAUAUCCACAUGUACUGUUCAUGCUUGUUUAUGUGCUGUUUUAGUGAUUUUGCUCUUUUCUGCUUAGAUUCCGUCGUUUCCGGAGAGUCCGUUUUCGCAGAAGAAGAGUUUGAAGAGUUCCAAGGCCAGCAAGGCAAGUCACACAGAUCCCAAACAACCCUUUGAGCAUGUUGAUCCUAUUUAAAGCUAUUGUUUCUAUUCAACUAUUGCAUCUAUUUUCGAAUGUCAUUGGGUGGAAUUGACCUAUUCUUUGUUAUGGCCCUUUCGUACUUGAUUACCUUAUUCCUUGAUACCUUGGGUUAUUACAAUUUGACUAGUUGAGCUUUAUUUAUAUUGUUUCAACUAGAUAUUAGAUAUAAUUGCUUAGCCCUGCUUAGAAACAUUAGUACACAUUCGGGAUAACUAAUGACUCAUUAUUAUUUAAUGAUGGUUUCAUGAUAGUUCACGAUGGUCAAUCGUGAUUAGUUAAUUAAUUAAUGUGCCAACUAAAACCUGGUAAUGGUGGGUUGUGAGCACAUGGUUUUGUUGGUCGUGCUCAUGACAAUUAAGGACCGGUUCACGAGUUUCGGUUGUGAAACAUUAACCGUGCCAACCACAAGCCAGCAUGGGCAACGGCUUUAUCUUUUGUAUAGCAUGGUUCAUUGCGGGGCACCAGACUGAGAAGUGGCGGAGAUAAGCCCACGGGGGUCGCUGGGGAGUCCAUGCCUUGUUUAUAAGGGGGUGAUUAUGAUCCAGGAAGGUGCGCUGCAGUGGAUUGUGUUAUGCGAGGGGUAUUGUCACAACUCCUUUCCGAGGUACCGUGGUGGUAUUGAGGCACAUGGUGACAUGAUGUGGGGUUGUGUCUUGUGGGUACAGUGGUACACCUCUGAUCAGAGUAAAACUAUUCGAAUAGCCGUGCCCGCUGUUAUGGGCGGGUCUAACAAUGUCUUUCGUGAUUAGUCUCACACCUCUCAUCAUUGUAAAAGAUGCUUAAACUGGUAAUAAUUUGAUUAGCUCCUGGUUUGGAAUGGUAUAUUCCUGGUUUGGAGAUAGAACUGUGCAGCCGGGGUGGUUGUUCAGAAUGGUUGGGCCUAUACAACAGGGUAUGUUGUAUAGCGUUGGAUUAAUAUUGUUUAAUUACUUAACUGUUUUAUCAAAUUCUCAAAAGUUUGCUAAAUGCUGCUUUUGCAAAUGCAACCCUAUUAUGCCAUUCUUUGUUAUCCUGUGCACUUGCAUAUUUGCUGCGUGGCUUGCUGAGUAUGUCAUAUACUCACCUUGCAAUCAUUCAUCAGAGGAAGAGUUCUACAAUGAGGCUGAUGGUGUGGAGGAUUAGGUGUAGCCUUGGUCAAGCUGCCUGUGGAGUGGAGCCGUCUGCGCCGUUUAUUUAUUUUCCGCUGCUUAGAUCUUUAUUGAUUGAGAGGAACUAUCUACCUCUGUAAUGACAUUUUAUUCGCUUAUUAAUUAGAGUAAUAUUUGUACUCUAUUAUCAAUUUGUUAUUGUGUGCCUCGGCUGAUUCCUGGACGAGGGUUCACACACAUGUAAGCGUUUGGAAUUUUGGAUAGAAAUUCCGGGCGUGACAGUAGGAUUUAAGCACGGGUUUCGAACCGUCUACUUUUCCUUAUCCUUAUGGGAAUUUAAGAGAGAGAUCACUCCACUGAGUAACCGAGAGAGAAGAUUCAGGCAAGUAUGCCGUACCCUAUUUAAAAUAGAGGCAACGAACCACCAAUCCAUUACGAUGCCCGCAAAGAAAACCAACGCUUAAGACGCUAUUGGAGACUAGCGUAGCUAUUAUUCGAAGCUUAUUAAUUUCUUUACUGCGUUCAAGGCAUGACCGCGUGAUAGGUGUCCUUUUCCCCCUACUCAAGAAGAGUUACAUCUAAGUUCCGAUCGUGAUAUGACAAACAAAUCUUACUUUUUCUUUCCCAAGCUGGCGCAUAACCUCUGGACUGAUAGGAAGAUCGAUGACCCGCAUCCUACAACUUCAAAGAAGUAUUUGUAUCACACCCGAGCAAUGGACCGGGGAAGGAGUUUCAUUCAUUUACGGAGUUUGGAAGCAAGGACAAUCCAGGAUCAACUGCUAUCUGAAGAAGUGGAAUGGAUCUGAUUACCCAUUGGCAUCUGCAUUGACGCUUUUGACUACCCCUACUCUGUGUCUUUUGCGUUUCCUUAUUCAUGUACUCAUGUCUAUUUCUAUUUGUAUGAUACUGAUAUUGCAAUCGAUCUAUCCCUUGGUCCUCCCAAUCGAAUUGUUAAGUAUGUUUUUUCCCUUUCGAGAAAUGGUGGCAGUACCAAAUGCCGAAUUAGCAGCUAUACCAAAUGAUCAAUGCCUCUGGGGUUUACCUUCUCUUCAGCUCUCCCCGGUUUCACCGAUGUGUUGGGCACUGAACACUUUUCAAGAUCCGGUUUUGGUAGGACGAAGAUUUUUCACUUUCGUGAAGGUCGUUCUGAGGUGGAAUCGAACCACUCUGUUAGGAUUUAGAGUCCAACGCGCAAAGCUAAAGAGGAUUUCGAGUCCUCUGCUCUAACCAGCCAGAACCUAGAAUACAGGGAUUGUGAUACCGAACACCCACACAAUCUCGAUUUGACAUGACAGAGAGAGAGAUGGCGAUGGCAGUCUCUCUCUCUCUCUCUCUCUCUUCUUUUUAACGGAUAUUAUUGACAGGAAAAAACCAAUGUUCAAUACAUACUUCAGAUCUUGAAUCAGGCCUCGAAGAAUUCUAUGGCAAUUCAUACUUUCUUAAGAAAUAAGAGAGAAUCUCCUGGUAGAGGCGGCUAUGCCUCCCAAGCGAUCUCGGCUGAAGGUAUCUAUACUCAUCCUUCAGCUUUAUUAGACCCCUCUCACUUGGUUGACAACCAAUGAGCCCCUUAUGUAGGAGGAACUCAUGUACGCCUUUUCGAACCUCUUCGGGACCUGUUGUGUCUGCCCUCGACUUAGCCGUCUUAGAAUAGAAAGGUUUCGCAGAUUCAGAUUAGGAUGCACUGAACACUUUUCCAGAUCUGGUUUUAGCGGCACUGAAAAAUCUUUGAUUCUUGUCUCGUUUCACUUGCAUUUGCUUUCGUUCUAAAGUGGAAUCGAACCACUCACUCCGUUUGGAUUUAGAGUCCAAAGGGCCCAGGCCCAGCGAACGAAAAAGGAUUUACAGUCCCACGCCCACUGCCCUGCCUUCACCUUUUGAUUGCUUUAUUUUUAUACGAUUUUUUGAGCAACUAGCGCGAAAGCUGUUGCGCGUUAGCGCAUUUGGAACCACACAUUUUUAUACGAUUUUCGGAUCAUUUGAUUUUCGUUUUGAAAACUUUAAAACCUUAUCAGAGAGGGGCCACUAAGGCUGGAUGUUGGCUUCAAGAAAUCUCCUUUAGCCUUACCCCGGGCUUUGACCAUGUCUCCCGAACAAUUUCAGUACAUAUGGCGCAAGACGAUUCCACAUAUAUAUCGAGGUCGGAAUAGGAUCGGGUGUUUUCACGUCUCACCGUAGUGCCCGGUUUGUCUUGAUUGGUGAUUGAUAAACAAGAAGGAAAAUGGAAAAGUAGAAAAUCUACAUAAGCUUCCGUUGAGGUCCUUAGUUUAGUCAAGUAGGCGAGGGCAUUUCCAUCACGAAGGAUUCAAUCCAGCCACAGGUUCCCCUACGGCUACCUUGUUACGACUUCACCCCAGUCGAAGACCCCACCGUGGUAUGCGCCAAUAAGACCACCAAAGGCCUUUGUGGCACUAGUGGUACACAGAAGUCAUGGGUGAUCAUUGGUCCGAUGCUUCGGGCGAAACCAAUUCCCAGGGUGUGAUGGGCGGUGUGUACAGCGCCCGGGUACAUAUUCACCGCGGCAUGCUGAUCCGCGAUUACUAGCGAUUUCAACUUCAUGUUCCCGAGUUACAGAGAACAAUCCGGACUGAGGCAAUCUUUCCGGAUUCGCUCCGCCUUACAGCCUUGCUUCCCAUUGUCAUUGCCAUUGUAGCACGUGUGUGGCCUAGCCCAUAAGGGCCAUGCGGACUUGACGUCAUCCCCACCUUCCUCCAGUAUCUCACUGGCAGUCCUUCGUGAGUGCGGCACGCACCUUUUUCUUUGUUUCGGAGCGGGGCGUGUACUAUUACCACUACGUACCACAAUUUCUCCUUAGGCGCAUGUCUCAGCAACACAAAACGAGGGUUUCGCUCGUUAUAGGACUUGACCAAACAUCUCACGACAUGAGCUGACGACAGCCACACAGCAAAUAUGCAAGUGCACAGGAUAACAAAGGAUGGCAUAGUAGGGUUUCAUUUGCAUAAACAGCAUUUAAUAAACAUUUCAGAAUUUAAUAAAACAGUUAAGUAAUAAUUAAACAAUAUUAACUGUCGCGACCGAGAAAAAUACAUUUUCCCGAACGCUAGUGUAUUAAUCCCCGUCCCAGGAAAAGCCGGGGUACACCAAACAAACAUGAUACAAAAGGCACAUCUUUAAUAUAUCGAUAAUAUUUACAUUAUUACAAAGGCACUUCGGCCUGACAAACAAAAAUAAACAACAGCGGACUAGCGGGCCUACGGCUCCAUCUUCACAGGCGCUCAACUGGGGUAUAAGCCAGGACUCCACCUAAGACAUCUUCUCCGAAGCUUCUCUUACUGAAGGGGGGAAAGAUUGAACAAGAAUGAGUACAACCACAAUACUCAGCAAGCCACACCGGCAGAUGCAUGAUUAAUGCAAGGGGGUACAAGGGGUAAUAAUAAAGGGGUUAAGUUUUGCAGUAAAUAGCAUUUAAAAGUCACUUAGUUGCCCAAAGCCAUUUUAAAAAGACGAUCCUAAAGCUACACAGUAUUAUUAAUCAAGGCCGUGAACCCUCACGAACCUGCCUUAACCCAAGGCCUACGAUGAUUCAGACCGAACUGGCAACCCGACCCUGGGUCCCAGCUCGUCCCAAGCCAACCCAGGCCAACCAUUCCACAUUUUAGUUGUUAAGCAGGUUUUAAGAAUUAAAACACUAACUUGGGUACAUUGCUCGGCUUGCCCAUAACCGAGGGCGCGGCUAUUCGAAUAGGUUAUACUCUGAUCAGAGGUGUACAUCUUUACCCACAAGACACAUCUUCCUCACGCGUAACCACGUGCCACAUACCACCACGGCAUAUGGACGGAAGACAUGACAUAGUUUCCAACCCAUCCUAGCCAUAGACAAGAGUACCGACCCAACCCCACCUACGGCCGGAACCUCCGGGACAGGUAGGCAGGAUUGAGCCCCUAGCAGCAGGACACCAGCCCUGUGCCAUGACAUCUCGACUACCGGGCCGCAGCUCGUGUAGCCUUCAUUUGUCCUAGAGAUGUCCAUCGACCCCCGACUUCGUCCAUCUCCAUCCGUGUACUUUUGUUUAUAACCAGACUGAGCCACAAACUAAGCCUUACCCACUAGACAUGUGAAAGUACGGUAGUGCUUUGCAACAGAGGCCCGAAGACCGGUCCUUAUAUGGCCGAGGUGCUACUAUCCAAACCAUGCACCCCGAGCCCAGCCUAAAACCAUUUUGGGGGUUUUGAAUAGAGGGGGCGGUGUGAAUCCAAUUCCACAAUAAUCCAACAAUUCCAAAGUGUCCAGGUGAUGAGAAUAUCCCAAAGUCUAGAGUUGUAAAACCACCUAAUGUUACCUAAUUAAACAGCGAAGCAUCUACCUAAAAUCAUACUAGUGGUACCGUAAGUAGAGUAUCCACUAGUUGGGGUUUUGUUUAAUCUAGGGUGAACAAGGUAAUAAUAACAAUAACAAUAAUAAUAAGGUCAUAACAAAGGUAAAUAGGCAUGGCUAAAUAAAACAGUGAUAACGCGGGAAUUUAAAUAAAGCGACAAUGCAAUAAUUUAAAUCAAAAUAAUUUUAUAAACUGGGAUUUAAUAUGUUCAAGGAUGAUGUGACUUGCCUUGCUCGCUUUCCCAAACGCCGGCUUCAACUUCCACGAAGAGCGGAUCUUCCGAAGCUGCAGCGUCUACACGACCAACAGAAAAGAAAAGGCUUUUACUCUAAUAAACUCCAUAUAACAAGCAGAAACAAAGCACAAAAAUGGGUUCUUGACUUCUUAAGGAAAAAUUAGAGACUUGAACGGUCCAAUUCCGAGUUCAAAUGGCCAAGUUAUGGCCAUUUGAAGUUUAUAUGCUCUUUAAUUGAAUAUUUGCGAAUUUCUUCAUUUAAAUUUUAAUUUAAAAUCGGAAUUAUUGCGUCAGCCGAGGGGAGAGGGCGCGCGGACCGGGUCCACGGGAGUGGGGCCCACGCGGCAGCCUCACGGUCCACGGUGGACCGGGUGCACCCGGCUCACACCGGCCGGCGCCGUGGGUCCCACGCGUCAGCCGCACCCGAGGGCGCGGGCGGCUUACGGCCGGGCCCCACACGGCAGCCACUCGACGCGCCCGAGGGCGGCCAAGCCAGCGCGGCCGGCGGGAGGCGGCGUGUCACGCCCAGAAAUUCACGAACCAGAAUUUCUAAGCUGAUUGUGCAUUAAACCCCUGUCCAGGACCAGCCAGGGUACACAAACGACAAUUGUUGACAUACAGAUCCACGUCUUACAAAAAUAUAAAAGAUUACAAAUGCAGCGGAAAAAGAUAAAAGCGAGCUAAGCCUGAAGACUUGACUCCUGCAGCGGGCGACUCCAUUCCACAGGCAAUCCUUGACGGCAGCGACGAAACCAACCUCUUCGAGACAUCUUCAACUGGGAAGGACUUCAACUCUGGUGUGGGGGAAAAGAGAGCAAGACUGAGUACUACCCACUGUACUCAGCAAGUCAUACCGGAAGAGGAGGUAUGAUGCAAGAUAUAUCCAAGGGAGGCUAAAGGUUCUUUUGCAUAAAGCCGGCAUUUCAAAACAGUAGUUGAAAGCAGUAAAACAGUUGUAGUAAUUAAUCCAUAUUAACCAAUCACUGUCCAACGUUACACCACGUUGCAACAGGCCCAAACCACCACCUAAACUAAUCAGUUCCAAAAGCUAACUAGGGUGAAACUAAUCACGGUGAAUCUGGUCGACCGCCCAUAACCGCGGGCACGGCUAUUCGAAUAGUUUUACUCUGAUCAGAGGUGUACAACUGUACCCACAAGACACAGCCCCACGACACGUUCCCGUGCGCCGACAUGCCACCACGACAUACCGGAAAGAGGCCGUGACAGGACCCUUCGUAUAACCCCCUCUAACCGAUCGCACCACACCUUAGGGUUCGCCCCCGUCCCCAGCAGGCAACGGGCAGCCCCCCUUUCGUGCCGCGGUGAAUCCGGCAGCCGAUCAACCGGACACCCCGGCCGACCCAACUCCAUCACGCCCACCCUCGCCUGGGUACGUCGGCUAGAGAAAAGCUACACUACAAGCCCAGCCGUUGCCCACGCUGGCUUGUGGUAAGUACGAUAAGUUCUUCCAGGGCAUCCCGCGAACCGGUCCUUAAUCGCCAUGGGCACGUCUAGCAAAACCAUGCACCCACAGCCCACCAUGUAGUGUAUUUUAAUUAGCCAACACCAUUGCGGUGGCACUAAUCCAAAGCUAUUGCCAAUAAUCAAGUCUAUGCUUUAAUGUGGUCCCCUUUUGUGCACUAGUUGAACUAAGCAUGGCUAAGCAUCUCCUAAACCAACAUCUAGUCAUUUUAAUACCCAAGUUAUCAAUGGCAUAAGGGAAACAACAUAUAGCUGAGUAAUAGGACCCAUCCCACAUGAUAUUGUAAAACAAUGCAAUAUUUAAUAGAAAUGCGGGACAUUUGUAAAUUAGGUACAAUAUGAUCAAUUGCAAUGUAUGACUUGCCUUGCUCUCGCACUGAUGGAACCACAGCAACGUCUUCGCGAAACCACGAAUCGACGAAACGGGCGAAAUCUACGCGACAAACAAAGCACACAAGCAAAACAUGCUAUAAGACUACUGAAACAGGAAGCAAAACCAUUUUUAAUGGAUUCUACACAUUUUUAUGAAUUUACUGAGACUUGAAUGGGAUUAAUCGGAGCUCGGAUGAAUUAGUUAUGAAUUUUAGAAGAUUCACUGUGUUUAUUACUAUAAAAGAAAAACCCUUAAUCAAUUUAUUGCGCAAUAAUUCAUCCCAGGGCUGACGUCAGCAAGGGGUGGGGCGGCGCCGACAUGCGGGACCCACGGGACAGAGGCACAGGAGAGAGGGAGAGGGGCGGCUGGCAGGCGGGACCCACCGGGCAGCGUCACAAGGGGGGGGGGGAAAGCGGCCUGGCUCGGCUCGGCUUCAAGCCGGCCGGCCGGUUAUGGCGAGGGCGGCGGCGGCAAGCGGCCUCCGACGGCGGCGGCCGGCGAGAAGACGACGGCGGCCGGCGACGCGGGCGACGGUGCAUCGCGGCGACGCGCAUGCGGGGAGCGGCGGCGCGCGCGGGAGGAAGAGAGAGGGAGUUCUCACCGGGGUUCGGCCGGCGCGGGAGGAAACGACGGCAAACGACGACGGUGAGCGACCGAAGGGCGACGGCGAACGGCGGCCGAGCUCCGGGACACCCUAAGAGAGGAAGUGUGAGGGGUUAGAGGGAGAGAGGGUGGUCUACGGCGGGCGGAAACCAUGGCCGACGGCGGCGGCUAUGGUGGUACUCACCGGCGCGCGGAGAGAAGCGGGCCCCGAUGGCGGGAUUGGAUGGGGAUGCGGCGGCCGGGGUAGCUUUGGCGGCGGCGAAGCUAAUGGCGGUGGCAAAUUGGCUCGGCGGCGGCUCCAGCGGCGGCGAGCGGCGACCGGAGGAGUGGAAAAGGCGGCGGCGGCGGGUGUAGCGGUGCGGGAGUGAUGGAGGGCACGGGAGAGAGCGCCGGAAAGAGGAAAAAGGUGGAGGGGAGUGCGGGGAUGGUUUAUAUGGGCUCGGGGGGGCGGACGAGGCCGGAAAGGUGGCCGAUUUGGCCGGCGACGUGGGGGAAAUGGAGGAGGAGAGAGAGAGUGGGGGAAAUUUCAAAUCCCCCGCCGUUUGCGGGCGCGCGAGCUGGCGGGAGGUGCGGGGAAGGUGGGCGGCGACGUGGGCGUGCGGUACGGGCGGAGUGGGCGCGGGAAACGGGGAAACCGGCGGCGUCGGUGGCGGUUUCGGCGGCGGCGGUGCCGUCGGCUGGAGGAGGAAGAAGGGGCCGACAGGUGGGCCCCACCUGUCGGUGACCCGGAGAGAGGAGGGAGGGAGUGGGCCGGCUUGGACCGGCCCAGCCGAGGGAAGGUCGGCGCGGGAGGUGAAGCGGGCCGGCGCUGGAGGGAAUGGGCCGGGCCCAAGAAAAAGGAAAAAGGAGGGAAAAGAAAAGAAGAAAGGAUUUUCCAGGGAUUUAUAUAUUGCACAAGCUCAAUUUUAAUUGGUUAAAAUUAUUUCCAAUGCUCUGAAAAUUCCACUAAAAAUCCUGUUAGCGUAUUUUGACAUGUAGAAUCCAAGAAAAAUUCCACAUGCCGAUUCCGAUUAAUAUUUGCAUUUAUUAAUUUAGGGUUUCUCUCUAGGUUAAAUUAAACAAUUUCUUCGGACGAUUUAUUUUAUGAAUUUAGAGCAAGGGAAGGGAACUUCAGGGCGUGACAAACCUACCCCCCUUAAACGGAAUCUCGACCCCGAGAUUCGGAAGAGCUGGCGAAGAGGUGCGGAUGGGCGGCCUUCAAUUCAUCUUCUCUUUCCCAGGUGGCCUCUUCUUCUGAGUGGUGGCUCCACUGAACUUUGCAAAACCUGAUCACCUUGCUUCUGGUCUUUCUCUCACUGGUCUCAAGGAUACGAAUCGGCUUCUCCACAUAAGUCAGAUCUUCCUGGAUGUCAAUGUGCUCUGAGCUAGCUUGUUCCUCAGGUACCCUCAAACACUUCUUCAAUUGAGAUACAUGAAACACAUCGUGGAUUCCAACCAUAUUAGAUGGGAGCUCAAGCUGGUAAGCGACUUCACCUCGGCGUUCCAAAAUCCUGUAUGGUCCCACAAAGCGUGGUGCCAAUUUGCCUUUCGUUUGGAACCGGUGUACUCCCCUGAGCGGAGUGACACGAAGGUACACAUAAUCCCCUGCUUCGAAAGUAAGCUCUCUUCGGCGGUUAUCAGCAUAACUCUUCUGCCGAGACUGGGCAAUUCUUAGCCUUUCUCUGACGGUUCUGACUUUCUCCUCUGCUUCAGUUAAUACUUCCGUCCCAAACAAUUGGCGUUCUCCAGUUUGAUCCCAGAAGAGCGGAGUGCGGCAUUUCCGUCCGUACAACGCUUCAAACGGUGCCAUUUGCAAACUGGCUUGAUAACUGUUGUUGUAAGAGAAUUCCGCAUAAGGUAGACUUUUAUCCCAUGCUCCACCAAAAUCGAGCGCACACGCUCGCAGCAUAUCUUCCAAGAUCUGAUUGACCCUUUCGGUCUGACCAUCAGUUUGCGGGUGAUAGGCCGUGCUGAAAUUCAAACGAGUCCCCAAUUCUUCUUGCAGUUUCUGCCAAAAUUUUGAAGUGAACUGACUCCCUCGAUCAGAUACAAUCUUCUUAGGUACCCCAUGCAAACACAUGAUUCUUGAAAGGUAAAGCUCUGCCAACCUUUUCCCAGUAUAGGUAGUGUGUACUGGAAUAAAAUGAGCAACUUUGGUGAGUCGAUCCACGACCACCCAGAUUGAAUCGUGACCCGAUGAUGUCCUGGGCAAACCUGUUAUGAAAUCCAUUCCGAUUUCUUCCCAUUUCCAUUCCGGGAUCUGAAGGGGUUGUAGCAGUCCUGCGGGCCUCUGAUGUUCUGCUUUGACUCGCUGACAAACAUCGCAGAGUGCGACGAAUUCGGCUAUCUCUCUUCUCAUGCUGGCCCACCAGAAUUUCUCUUUGAGGUCCUGGUACAUUUUAGUACUGCCGGGAUGAAUUGAAUACUGAGUUUGAUGAGCUUCUGUGAGUAUGAGAUCCUUCAGUUCUUUGUCGUCAGGCACACACAAUCUUUCUCCCAACCAGAUUGUGCCAUGCUCAUCCUCAUGGAAAUCUCGGGCUUUUCCGACCCUCAUAUUCUUUUUCAGCUCAGCUAUUUCAGGAUCAUUUACUUGAGCUGCUCUGACUUGAUCCACGAGCGUAGGCCGUGCCUCUAGGGCAGCUACGUACCCGUGUUCUACGAUGCCCAAAUUUAGGUGCUCAAGAUCUUGCUGCAAUUUGUCACACAUGCCUUCGGUACAUACUGCAUUGCAAUAGCUCUUUCUGCUCAGAGCAUCUGCUACCACAUUUGCUUUGCCUGGAUGAUAGUGUAUCCCCAUGUCAUAAUCUUUAAUCAACUCCAGCCAUCUUCGUUGCCGGAGAUUUAAGUCGGGCUGGGUGAAGAUGUACUUCAGGCUCUUAUGAUCAGUGUAAACUUCACAGCGGUUGCCAAUAAGAUAGUGCCGCCAGAUUUUCAGAGCAUGAACCACUGCUGCCAACUCAAGGUCAUGAGUGGGAUAAUUGGUCUCAUGUGGACGCAACUGUCGCGAAGCAUAUGCGACCACUCUGCCUUCUUGCAUCAACACACAUCCCAAUCCUUGGCGAGAUGCAUCACAGUAGACUUGGAAGUCUUUUGUCUGAUCUGGCAGAAUUAUAACUGGUGCAGAGACUAACCUCUUCUUGAGUUCUUCAAAACUUUGGUUGCACUCAGCUGACCACUUGAAUUUUUCAUCUUUCUUUAGCAACUGUGUCAUGGGCCUGGCAAUCUUGGAGAAAUUUUCGAUGAACCGACGGUAAUAGCCCGCAAGUCCAAGAAAACUCCGGAUCUGAGAAACUAUCUUUGGUGGGGUCCACUUUGUAACUGAUUCCACAUUUGAUGGAUCCACUGCCACGCCUUGAGCAGAAAUGACGUGACCCAGAAAUUUGACCUCCGAUAACCAGAAGUCACACUUGCUAAACUUGGCAUAUAGCUGGUGCUCCUUCAAUUUCUCGAGUACCAGACGGAGAUGCUGCUUAUGUUCCUCUUCUGAUUUUGAAUAAAUAAGUAUGUCGUCAAUGAAUACCACGACAAACUUGUCAAGAAACUCCAUAAACACUUUGUUCAUCAAGUUCAUGAAGAAAGCCGGUGCAUUGGUGAGUCCAAAGGACAUAACCGUGCACUCAAACAACCCAUACCGAGUGGUGAAGGCUGUCUUGGGAAUAUCCUCUUCCCGAAUUCUCAACUGAUGAUAGCCUGAUCGUAGGUCUAUCUUGGAAAACACCUUAGCUCCUUUUAGCUGAUCAAACAGGUCAUCAAUUCUUGGCAACGGAUAUUUGUUCUUGAUUGUGACCUCAUUAAGGGCGCGAUAAUCCACGCACAUCCUCUUGGUCUUGUCUUUCUUCUCCACAAAGAUAACCGGAGCACCCCAAGGUGAAGUACUCGGUCGGAUGUACCCUUUCUGCAGCUGUUCGUCAACCUGCUUCUUGACCUCUGCUAGCUCAUUAGCUGCCAUUCUGUACGGCCUCUUGUAAAUUGGAGUAGUCCCGGGUGCCAAAUCGAUCCGGAACUCGAUUUCUCUCUUCGGUGGCAUUGUAGUGAGGUCUUCUGGGAACACCUCAGGAUACUCUUGUACUAUAGGAAUAUCCUCCAACUUCCUGGGACUUUUCUCCACUGUUUCUGUCUGACCCUCAAUAGCAGCCUGAUUCAGACUCGCUACGGGCUUCUGCGAUGCUGGGGAACGGAAGGUGAUCUUCUCCCCUUUGUCGUUGGUUAGGGUGAUGGUGCGGCUUGCGCAGUCAAUCACUCCCUUGUUUCUGGUCAACCAAUCCAUUCCAAGAAUGACAUCCAGGUCUUUAGAUUCGAGAAGGAUGAGGUUGGAUAGAAACGGUGAUCUUUUGAUCUCUAUAGUCACCGAGGGGCAGUAGUGUGCUGUCCUCAUAUCAUUUCCAGGGGUAUGAACCUGCAUCGGUAUUUUAAGUUCUACUAUCGAUAAUCCAUGUGUCCCAGCAAAUCUUUUGGAAAUGAAAGAAUGCGAGGCACCUGAAUCAAAGAGAACUGUUGCUGGAUAUGAGUUCACUGGAAACGUGCCCAACACGACCUCUGGUGCUGCCUGUGCUUCCUCUGCAGACACAUGAUUGGCGCGGGCCUGGAUGAACCUGGGUCCAGUGCGAUUCAGCUUCGGACACUUGCCAGCAAAAUGGCCGUGCUUGCCACAGUUGAAGCAGGGUCCUGGCUUUCCUACAGCCCCCUUCUUGGGUUGUUCUGACUGAACUGACACAGCUGGCGGAUCUGACUGAGCUGGUGCCAUUAGUGGGGGUGGAGUCGAGUUGUGGUUGUGCUGCUUACUGUUGUUGUGACUGCCACCGUUGUAGUCGUUGUCGAAGUUACUCGGGUGAUAGGGACGGUGCUGACAGACGAUCAGGGUGGAAGGCCCACCUAGUUGUCCCGUCAUGAAGCGAGGCUUCUGAUUGUUCCCCUGAGGAAAGCUGAUCUGAGCUGCCUUUCUUUUUCGGUCCAUUUUGUUGCGUUGCUCUUCCUGACGAAUAGCCUUGUCCACAAGCUUCUCAAAGUCCUCAUAAACUCCGGAGAUUAGCUGGUUGGUCAAUUCAUCAUCGAGCCCAAACAAAAACUUCUCCUGCUUCUCAGCAUCGGUGCGCACGUCUUCAGGAGCGUAGCGCGCAAGGCGGUUGAACUCAUGCAAGUACUCUGUAACUGACAUGGUUCCUUGCUGGAGCGCACGGAACUCUCUCUUCUGUUGUGCCAUAAUCCCUUCAGGAAUCUGUGCCUUCCUGAAGCUUUGACAAAACUCUGCCCAAGUAACCUCCGUUGCAUCUAGACGGGUCGCCACGUAGUUAUCCCAUCAGGCAGAAGCGGGACCUUGCAACUGGUGUGUAGCAAAAGCAACUUUCUCUUGGUCGUUGCAUUGCAGUAGGUUCAGCUUCUUCUCAAUAGCACGGAGCCAGUCAUUGGCCUCCAUUGGGUUGGUGGUGCUUGAGAAAGUGGGUGGCUGGAUACGAAGAAAGUCUAACAGUUUGGACACGUGUGAUGGUGGAGGACCAAACUGCUGGUUCUGUUGCGCCUGCUGCAACAUCUGAUGGUAAUGUUGCUGCAUCUGUUGCAUCAUCAUUGUCAUCAUUUGAGUGACUGUUGGGUUUUCGGGCGGUGGAGAUGAUCUGCUGCCAGAUGCACCACUGACAUGAGCUCCAUCGGUCUGCUCUUCGCUGCCACUGGCGUCGUUGGAGUCACGGGGAUCAUUCCUUGUCUUCACCAUCUGGAGGAGGAUAGGUAGAAAUAAGAGAAAGGAAGAAAACAGAUGGCUCGGAAACUAAUCUUUCUUAUAAAAUUAAGUGCAAUUAUCUUAAUCUUGAUUAAAACACUGAAAAAGAGGCACGCAAUUCCUAAUUAAGGCUGUCAUACCACUCACACAUGAUAUCGACCGCCGAUUAACCCACAAGCAACAAACCUAAACACAAAAACUAGCACGCAAACAGACUAAGAAGACGAUAAAGCUAAGGGCGGCGACUCUGAAGCUCGGAGCGGCGCUUGCGAUCGAAGAACAUGUCUGACUUCUAAGGUAGACAAGGGAUAGGAAUCAAUGCAUGCUCAAAUCCAAAUUUAAACCAAGCAACAAAUGGCCCAAACCACUAGCCAAGCAUGAUGAUUUGUAUGCAUAGAACAUUUUUCAUGAACCCGGAUAAAGACACUAAUGCGACUGACUAAACUAUAGCUUAAUGCAUAAACUAGAUGCAUGAAAAAUGAUGCGCGUAACAUUGCCCCAUCGAACAUAGACACGACCUAAUGCAUAUCACCCGAUAAAUUCCCAACUGACUGUCAAAUAAACUCCAAAUAAACUUUUACCAAACCCUAGACUGUCCCUAGUCGAGAAAUCCAAUUAAAUAAGCGACCAAGAUUUUUCCCACAAACUCAAAAGAACAAAACCCCAAAAUUUUUCCCGAAACAAAUCCAAGUGCAAAAAGCAUAUGCAGAUGAAAAGGUUUCAGAGGGCUCUUAGGGUUUCCAUUUGGCUUGUCCUACGGUCAAGGUCGGCUCUGAUACCAACUUGUCACGCCCAGAAAUUCACGAACCAGAAUUUCUAAGCUGAUUGUGCAUUAAACCCCUGUCCAGGACCAGCCAGGGUACACAAACGACAAUUGUUGACAUACAGAUCCACGUCUUACAAAAAUAUAAAAGAUUACAAAUGCAGCGGAAAAAGAUAAAAGCGAGCUAAGCCUGAAGACUUGACUCCUGCAGCGGGCGACUCCAUUCCACAGGCAAUCCUUGACGGCAGCGACGAAACCAACCUCUUCGAGACAUCUUCAACUGGGAAGGACUUCAACUCUGGUGUGGGGGAAAAGAGAGCAAGACUGAGUACUACCCACUGUACUCAGCAAGUCAUACCGGAAGAGGAGGUAUGAUGCAAGAUAUAUCCAAGGGAGGCUAAAGGUUCUUUUGCAUAAAGCCGGCAUUUCAAAACAGUAGUUGAAAGCAGUAAAACAGUUGUAGUAAUUAAUCCAUAUUAACUAAUCACUGUCCAACAUUACACCACGUUGCAACAGGCCCAAACCACCACCUAAACUAAUCAGUUCCAAAAGCUAACUAGGGUGAAACUAAUCACGGUGAAUCUGGUCGACCGCCCAUAACCGCGGGCACGGCUAUUCGAAUAGUUUUACUCUGAUCAGAGGUGUACAACUGUACCCACAAGACACAGCCCCACGACACGUUCCCGUGCGCCGACAUGCCACCACGACAUACCGGAAAGAGGCCGUGACAGGACCCUUCGUAUAACCCCCUCUAACCGAUCGCACCACACCUUAGGGUUCGCCCCCGUCCCCAGCAGGCAACGGGCAGCCCCCCUUUCGUGCCGCGGUGAAUCCGGCAGCCGAUCAACCGGACACCCCGGCCGACCCAACUCCAUCACGCCCACCCUCGCCUGGGUACGUCGGCUAGAGAAAAGCUACACUACAAGCCCAGCCGUUGCCCACGCUGGCUUGUGGUAAGUACGAUAAGUUCUUCCAGGGCAUCCCGCGAACCGGUCCUUAAUCGCCAUGGGCACGUCUAGCAAAACCAUGCACCCACAGCCCACCAUGUAGUGUAUUUUAAUUAGCCAACACCAUUGCGGUGGCACUAAUCCAAAGCUAUUGCCAAUAAUCAAGUCUAUGCUUUAAUGUGGUCCCCUUUUGUGCACUAGUUGAACUAAGCAUGGCUAAGCAUCUCCUAAACCAACAUCUAGUCAUUUUAAUACCCAAGUUAUCAAUGGCAUAAGGGAAACAACAUAUAGCUGAGUAAUAGGACCCAUCCCACAUGAUAUUGUAAAACAAUGCAAUAUUUAAUAGAAAUGCGGGACAUUUGUAAAUUAGGUACAAUAUGAUCAAUUGCAAUGUAUGACUUGCCUUGCUCUCGCACUGAUGGAACCACAGCAACGUCUUCGCGAAACCACGAAUCGACGAAACGGGCGAAAUCUACGCGACAAACAAAGCACACAAGCAAAACAUGCUAUAAGACUACUGAAACAGGAAGCAAAACCAUUUUUAAUGGAUUCUACACAUUUUUAUGAAUUUACUGAGACUUGAAUGGGAUUAAUCGGAGCUCGGAUGAAUUAGUUAUGAAUUUUAGAAGAUUCACUGUGUUUAUUACUAUAAAAGAAAAACCCUUAAUCAAUUUAUUGCGCAAUAAUUCAUCCCAGGGCUGACGUCAGCAAGGGGUGGGGCGGCGCCGACAUGCGGGACCCACGGGACAGAGGCACAGGAGAGAGGGAGAGGGGCGGCUGGCAGGCGGGACCCACCGGGCAGCGUCACAAGGGGGGGGGGGAAAGCGGCCUGGCUCGGCUCGGCUUCAAGCCGGCCGGCCGGUUAUGGCGAGGGCGGCGGCGGCAAGCGGCCUCCGACGGCGGCGGCCGGCGAGAAGACGACGGCGGCCGGCGACGCGGGCGACGGUGCAUCGCGGCGACGCGCAUGCGGGGAGCGGCGGCGCGCGCGGGAGGAAGAGAGAGGGAGUUCUCACCGGGGUUCGGCCGGCGCGGGAGGAAACGACGGCAAACGACGACGGUGAGCGACCGAAGGGCGACGGCGAACGGCGGCCGAGCUCCGGGACACCCUAAGAGAGGAAGUGUGAGGGGUUAGAGGGAGAGAGGGUGGUCUACGGCGGGCGGAAACCAUGGCCGAAGGCGGCGGCUAUGGUGGUACUCACCGGCGCGCGGAGAGAAGCGGGCCCCGAUGGCGGGAUUGGAUGGGGAUGCGGCGGCCGGGGUAGCUUUGGCGGCGGCGAAGCUAAUGGCGGUGGCAAAUUGGCUCGGCGGCGGCUCCAGCGGCGGCGAGCGGCGACCGGAGGAGUGGAAAAGGCGGCGGCGGCGGGUGUAGCGGUGCGGGAGUGAUGGAGGGCACGGGAGAGAGCGGCGGAAAGAGGAAAAAGGUGGAGGGGAGUGCGGGGAUGGUUUAUAUGGGCUCGGGGGGGCGGACGAGGCCGGAAAGGUGGCCGAUUUGGCCGGCGACGUGGGGGAAAUGGAGGAGGAGAGAGAGAGUGGGGGAAAUUUCAAAUCCCCCGCCGUUUGCGGGCGCGCGAGCUGGCGGGAGGUGCGGGGAAGGUGGGCGGCGACGUGGGCGUGCGGUACGGGCGGAGUGGGCGCGGGAAACGGGGAAACCGGCGGCGUCGGUGGCGGUUUCGGCGGCGGCGGUGCCGUCGGCUGGAGGAGGAAGAAGGGGCCGAUAGGUGGGCCCCACCUGUCGGUGACCCGGAGAGAGGAGGGAGGGAGUGGGCCGGCUUGGACCGGCCCAGCCGAGGGAAGGUCGGCGCGGGAGGUGAAGCGGGCCGGCGCUGGAGGGAAUUGGCCGGGCCCAAGAAAAAGGAAAAAGGAGGGAAAAGAAAAGAAGAAAGGAUUUUCCAGAGAUUUAUAUAUUGCACAAGCUCAAUUUUAAUUGGUUAAAAUUAUUUCCAAUGCUCUGAAAAUUCCACUAAAAAUCCUGUUAGCGUAUUUUGACAUGUAGAAUCCAAGAAAAAUUCCACAUGCCGAUUCCGAUUAAUAUUUGCAUUUAUUAAUUUAGGGUUUCUCUCUAGGUUAAAUUAAACAAUUUCUUCGGACGAUUUAUUUUAUGAAUUUAGAGCAAGGGAGGGGAACUUCCGGGCGUGACACGGCGCGCCCGCGUCCCGAUGGUCGCCGCCGGCGACCACCGGCGCGGCGGAGCGGCGGCCGAGAGAAGGGAGGGAAGGGGGAAAGGAGGCGACGGUCCACGGCUCACCCUGGGGCGACGGCGGCGACGGAGGAGGCGGCCGGAGCGGAGGGAGGUGGUGGCGCGGCUCGGGUCGACGGGGACGACGGCGCUCCGGCGGUCGGCGACCGAAACGGAGAGGUGGACGAGGUCGGCGAGGAUGCGGCGAAGCCGAAGGAGGCGGCGCCGAGGUGGGAGGCGGUCCGGGGUGACGACUGCGGCGGACCGGAGCUCGGCGGCGACGGCGGAAAGAGAGAGCGACGUCGCGAGCUCAAAUCCGGCGAGGAGGAAGGGCGGCGAGAGGCGGAACCGGACGGAGGAGGUGCGGGGAGGGUUUAAAUAGAGCCGGGGCGAGAGAGGGUGGCCGGGGAAGGGAGGAAACCGGCGCGGGAGGUCGGCCGUCAUCAAUGGCGCCGGCGAGAUUUGCGGGGGCAAAUCCGCCCGUUUGAACGCGGGAGAGAGAGGGAGAAAUGGGGGGAAAGAGAGAGGGGAUCGCGGGGAAUAAUUCCCCCCACUUUAAUGCGCGCGGGGACGGCGGGAGUCGGCGGGAUUCGCGGCAGCGGCGGCGCUAGGGCGCGGGCAGGGCGGCGGGAGCGGCGGGAGGAUAGGGAUGACAGGUGGGCCCCACCCGUCAGCGAGGGUGGCGGGCGGGCCCGCCCGUCAGCGGCGCGCUCGGGGAGAGGCCGAGUGGGCCGCGGGGAGGAGGAGAGAGAGGGAAGGAGAUGGGCCGAGCCGGCCCAAGAGGGGGAGGGGGGGAGAAAAAGACUUUUUAGGGUUUUUCUUUUUAUAAAAUCAUUUUAACUUUGUUUAUUUCUUAAUAAUUAUUAUUUGUGCUCUGAAAAUUCCACUAAAAUUUGAGGGCUCCUUUUAGACCAAGGAGAAUUUAACAAAAAUUCUCCGGGCCACAUUUGAAUUUUUCUUGUACGUAUUUUAGUGUUUGUCAAUUUCUUUUCGAAUUUUAAUUAAUUCUGAUUAUUCCUUUUAGCGAAUGAUUUUUAAUUCGGGAUGAAUUUAUCAGGACGUGACAAAUCCACCCCCCUUACAAGAAUCUCGUCCCCGAGAUUCGAGGAGGCUAGCAUGAAGAUAGGUUGGGCGGUCUUCUCUUCUUGUCUGACUUCUUCCGCUCCGUCUUCUAUAACAAACUUGCCUAACAAAACUUCUCCACUCUGGACUGCUUGGCUCGAUCUCCUGUUGCAGAUGGAAUCUUCUCUUCACCCGACUUUUCCCUGGUUGCACCUCUAACUGACUCAGACUAGGCUGUGGCGGUCGAGGAUGGGGCUUCAGUUCUAGAACUUCUUAUCAUUCAUAUCUUUGGCGUCAACCUCAUACAAGUUACCCACUUCAUGUCAUGCGUCGAGAUCAGCUCGUCAUUACUAAGAUACCAUGCUUGUCAUCAUGAGAAUACCAUGCUUGUCAUUUACUUCUAACUUGCCACCAACUGCCUCAUAUUAGUUUUCCUGGUCUCCGGGUGAUAGCUACUUCUUCUAUUUGAUGCAAGGGUCGAUAACUUUGCCUUUGAAUUAUGCUUCCCAAGAGAACCAACUUAUCCCACUUGAUAUACUUUGACGCCUUCCCAAAUAGUUUUACUGCUGGACUUCUUAUUGUCUGAUCAUUAUCUUGCCAAAUCUGAGGCUUCGUUGUUAGAUGUGAUUUUAAUCUGACCUCUGUAGAUUAUCUUCGAACAUAUCACUUGAUUCAUAACUGGGAAUAGCUCUCACGAACAAGCAACUCGGAUUCACUUUCUUUAUGUUCAGUUUACUUUCCACUAUUCUCUUCAUGUUGUCAUCAUUUAGCAUUCAACGUAUUCCUUUGCACCUUCAGCCUUGAUGUGUUCUUUCUCGAUGGAUCGAUUGCUAGAAAAGUGCGUUGAACGAUACUAGUGCAAGUGCUUUUAUUCUAGUAGCAUCUGAUACAAAGCCCAAGGUUGAACCGAGCUUUAGAUUCCACUGUUCAGGUUUUACUUCUUGACUUCUUGGUCAUGUCACAAAAGUUUCCAUCCUUGUCCCCAUAGAAGUACUUCUACCUGUGGUCAUCUCUCUUACUCGUGAAUUCACCUACUUUAAUGACAGGGCAACUGUUGUAGGGUUGAUUGCUAUCGGGAGUCUUCCUCGAGUGACACAAAUCGUGGUUCUCGUUAUCCUUUAUCAAUCACCUUUCGACCUACUUCUUUUCCCAGUAACCAAACAUCUUUUCCGAUCCCUUCCAUUAAUCACCUUUCGACCUUUCUCAACCAGGUACUCUUCGCUCCGGGUGUUGAGGAUGCUUCUGGGGCAAUGUGGUACUUGAGCCUGCUGCCUUUCACAGAACCUUCAAGUGGUUCAUCAAAAGCUAGACUGACGGUUGUUGCCUUUGAUCCAAAGAAGACACAUCUGAAACACUUAGUCCAAACAAAUGUCUCUUUGGUUAAUCACUUGAUUUUCUUUUCCAUCAUCCGGUUGGUUAUUAACUCGAGGUUAGAACAUAGUUCCUCUGGAAUGAGACCCUAGGUCUCCUUUAUCAGUAAGCAAUUAUACACAUAAUCACAUAUCCGCAUCUUCCAAAAGAAUCCUCAUAGAACUUGUCUGUAUUACACAUUUCUCCCUCAUUACAUGAAUACUAAGCACUGCCUAAAAGGAAAAGUGCUUAGCAUCGGUACAUUGUUUCUGCUAUGGGUUCUGAUUAACACGAGGCCUCACGGGUACGGUGUUUGCUCCAGUGACCACAAUACGAUUGGGAUGUCUGCUUUGUGUAACUUGGCGGUAAUGUGGAGGUCGACUUUGCCUUGGUUGCAGGCAGUCCCUCGAGUAAUGCCUUGGUUCUUUGCAAUUGUAGCAAAUCAACGUCUUCUUUGCUGAGCUAUCCGUCUGGGGACGAUCAUUCUGACUUGGAGUUGGAAUUGGUGGUUGGAAAUCCUUGCUAACAUUGGCAUCAGUGGUACCAUAGUUGCUAUCACCAUUGGAGUCUUUCUCAGAGUCACAAUUGCUAGGGUUGUCAUUUUGGGUGCCAUCAUCGAUACUAUCGUCGACACCUUGGUGAAUGAUGUUGACAUUGCACGCUUGGUUUGAGUGGUCACUAAUGGGGCAUGGAGCAUGGUUGUUGGUGGUAUCAUCAUCAUUAGUAUUGCUAAUGUUGUUGUCUGCAUUGUGUCCAUCUUCUUGGGGCGGAAACUCUUGAUGUGCAACAGAAGAUCCGAUGAUCUGAAGUGGCUCAGUGCGCUGUCUUUGGUUACCACAUGAAGAUACUGGGAUGCUGACAAUCCUCCUCUUACAGUUCUUCAUCCGAUUAUGCUCACUUUCGAGUUGUAUGGCUUUGUCCACAAGUUUCUCAAAAUCUUCAUAUUCCUCUAGGAGUAGUUGCACUGCGAUCUCAUCUUUUAACGCCUGGAGAAACUUCUCUUGUUUGUCUUCAUCAUUUUCCACAUCUUCCGGUGCAUAGUGAGCCAAACGAUGGAACUCGUGCAGGUACUCUGUGACGGUCAAAUCUUCUUGAUUCAGGUAGCGGAACUCUCGUUUUCUCAGUGUGAUCAUUCCUGCGGGAACAUGUGAUAUCUUGAAUACAGAUGAAAACUCGUCCUAGGUGAUGGUAUGUCCUUCUGGCCGUGAUGCUUCGUAGCUAUCCCACCAUUCUGAAGCCAGUCCAACCAACUGAUGAGUUGCGAAGACAACCCGCUCCUGGUCUGUGCACUGAACCAACCCCAGCUUCUUCUCGACUGUGCGCAACCAAUCACUGGCUUCCAUAGGAUCGACGGCAAUGGCAAAGGUUGGAGUCUCAGUUUUUAGAAAUUCUGAUAACUUGCACUGUUGCUGGACUGUAGGUACUUGAACGUUGGUUGCCCCUGCUGGGUUGUUCCAAUUCUGUAAUAGUUGAAAGGCUGUUGCCAACAUGUUGGUUUGGUUAACCACAAUUUGGAUUAGCUCUGGUGAGGUUUCGUUGAUGCUUUUCUCAUUCCCAUUGGCUUGGGUUCUUUAUCUUGUACUUGAUUUCUUGGCUGCUGUGCUGGAACAUCCAAAGGUACAAUGCCGAUACUGGCCUCUGUGUUGUCAACUGGUGGCUGGGGCUGAAGUUGAGCAUUGACACCUUGUGGUAAUGCACUCGCUGGAGUUGGAGCUGUUGCAACGGGGGCUAUAGGACUGCUUCGGGAUGCAUGGAUGACAAUUCGCUGAGGAGCAAGCUUCUGAUUGCAGGGAGUUGCGUGGACUGAGGUGCUGGCAGCUAUGUUUCUCGGUUUUGGGCACUUGUCGGCGAAAUGACCCAUUCCUUGACAAUUGAAGCAACAAAUAUCUUUCCGGACUCGGCAUUUUCUUUUCUCAUUUUGAUUCCUCUGUCCUGGCACUGGAGUUAGGCUAAAACUGUAAUCUUGACGAGGAUUUGUGUUGCCUUGAUGCUUCUCUCCGUUGGAACUGGCGGGUUGGUUGGCCAUCUUCUUCGUCAGCAGAAAACUGAAUUGACAAUCUUUUGGUACAUGAUCAGUUCCUUCACAAAAGAAACAAGUGAUCCUGCUCGUUGGGCACCUGUCGGGUGGAUGGUCUUCCUCACAAUGAACGCAUGUAGUGGCACACGAGCUGGCAACAUGACCGAUUUCUCCACAACGAGAGCAUGCCUUUCGUUCCAUUUUAUUCUGGUUGAAACCUUGGGGAGACUUCUCAUCUUCAUCAUCUGAGGAGACUUGAUCUGAAUCUUCACUAUCAGACACCCUACCUCCAUUAGCUAAAAGAUGCUCUGUCAACUGUGGUGCACCUCGGAAGGUAUUUCUUCUCUGACGUUUUGUCAUUCCUGGUGGAGGCCAUUCUAUGCUGGUAAUGAUCAUCUUACGGACUUCAUCUUCGGUUCGCAUUGGUGUUUUUCUUUUCUGCUGAGGACACUCCCUUGCAUAGUGCCCUUGCUCAUCACACAUAAAACAAAUGAUACUUGCUUCUUUUGAGUCAACAUGUGGCACGUCACCAUGGGUCCUUCGGGAUGCUGGCGGCAUGCUGACUUGUGGUGUGAGUGCUUGGACUGCCUCCAACUGCACUUGAGGUUGUAUUUGACUCAGGUUCAGAAUUGGCGUCUGAUGCUGCUGUAGUAUCUCUAUAAGCAAUCGGUUCUGGUUAAUCAGGUGUUGGACCAGUGUCACACAACUGGUGUCUGGUGCUUCAUUCACUCGGGAGCUUGAGGUACCAAUGUCCUGACUUCUGACCUUAUUGCCUUUCUCAUUGUCAGCCAUCUGUUGCAAAGGUUUGGAGAGGGAGAGAGGGAAAACAAAGGGGAGAGACAGAUUAGAAACUAAGGAUAGGACCUUAACAGAUCUAAGUCUUUUGCUGUUAUGAUGUAUGUUAGGCUUAUUCUGCAAGUUGAUUAAGCAAACAACCUAGCAUGGUUACAUCACAACCCACUGAUGCAAACCACGCGCUACACACACAAGCAAGGAAACACACGACAAACGAAACACUAGAGGGUGGCUUAGGUUCUGCGACGGGUUCCCAAGAUCUUCACUCCUGCUUCACAGUUGGCUUCACUGCUUCCUCCACUUCGCUAACGGAUCCUGCAGUCUUCCGGAGCUUCGGCAAACAACUGACGAUGUCUUCUUCUUCACUGACCUGACCAUCUAGUACUAGUUGAAAUCCGAAGAAGGAAGAAGGGAGUAAACCUUUUGCAAAUAGCAUUAGGGGAAGGAGAAAGAAGGAACUUUCGCAAAUAGUUUUAUUUAUAAAAUAUGUCCUUAGGUUUUAUCCACUUGGCUUAUCCUACAGUCGAGAUGGCUCUGAUACCAGCUUGUCGCGACCGAGAAAAAUACAUUUUCCCGAACGCUAGUGUAUUAAUCCCCGUCCCAGGAAAAGCCGGGGUACACCAAACAAACAUGAUACAAAAGGCACAUCUUUAUUAUAUCGAUAAUAUUUACAUUAUUACAAAGGCACUUCGGCCUGACAAACAAAAAUAAACAGCAGCGGACUAGCGGGCCUACGGCUCCAUCUUCACAGGCGCUCAACUGGGGUAUAAGCCAGGACUCCACCUAAGACAUCUUCUCCGAAGCUUCUCUUACUGAAGGGGGGAAAGAUUGAACAAGAAUGAGUACAACCACAGUACUUAGCAAGCCACACCGGCAGAUGCAUGAUUAAUGCAAGGGGGUACAAGGGGUAAUAAUAAAGGGGUUAAGUUUUGCAGUAAACAGCAUUUAAAAGUCACUUAGUUGCCCAAAGCCAUUUUAAAAAGACGAUCCUAAAGCUACACGGUAUUAUUAAUCAAGGCCGUGAACCCUCACGAACCUGCCUUAACCCAAGGCCUACGAUGAUUCAGACCGAACUGGCAACCCGACCCUGGGUCCCAGCUCGUCCCAAGCCAACCCAGGCCAACCAUUCCACAUUUUAGUUGUUAAGCAGGUUUUAAGAAUUAAAACACUAACUUGGGUACAUUGCUCGGCUUGCCCAUAACCGAGGGCGCGGCUAUUCGAAUAGGUUAUACUCUGAUCAGAGGUGUACAUCUUUACCCACAAGACACAUCUUCCUCACGUGUAACCACGUGCCACAUACCACCACGGCAUAUGGACGGAAGACAUGACAUAGUUUCCAACCCAUCCUAGCCAUAGACAAGAGUACCGACCCAACCCCACCUACGGCCGGAACCUCCGGGACAGGUAGGCAGGAUUGAGCCCCUAGCAGCAGGACACCAGCCCUGUGCCAUGACAUCUCGACUACCGGGCCGCAGCUCGUGUAGCCUUCAUUUGUCCUAGAGAUGUCCAUCGACCCCCGACUUCGUCCAUCUCCAUCCGUGUACUUUUGUUUAUAACCAGACUGAGCCACAAACUAAGCCUUACCCACUAGACAUGUGGAAGUACGGUAGUGCUUUGCAACAGAGGCCCGAAGACCGGUCCUUAUAUGGCCGAGGUGCUACUAUCCAAACCAUGCACCCUGAGCCCAGCCUAAAACCAUUUUGGGGGUUUUGAAUAGAGGGGGCGGUGUGAAUCCAAUUCCACAAUAAUCCAACAAUUCCAAAGUGUCCAGGUGAUGAGAAUAUCCCAAAGUCUAGAGUUGUAAAACCACCUAAUGUUACCUAAUUAAACAGCGAAGCAUCUACCUAAAAUCAUACUAGUGGUACCGUAAGUAGAGUAUCCACUAGUUGGGGUUUUGUUUAAUCUAGGGUGAACAAGGUAAUAAUAACAAUAACAAUAAUAAUAAGGUCAUAACAAAGGUAAAUAGGCAUGGCUAAAUAAAACAGUGAUAACGCGGGAAUUUAAAUAAAGCGACAAUGCAAUAAUUUAAAUCAAAAUAAUUUUAUAAACUGGGAUUCAAUAUGUUCAAGGAUGAUGUGACUUGCCUUGCUCGCUUUCCCAAACGCCGGCUUCAACUUCCACGAAGAGCGGAUCUUCCGAAGCUGCAGCGUCUACACGACCAACGGAAAAGAAAAGGCUUUUACUCUAAUAAACUCCAUAUAACAAGCAGAAACAAAGCACAAAAAUGGGUUCUUGACUUCUUAAGGAAAAAUUAGAGACUUGAACGGUCCAAUUCCGAGUUCAAAUGGCCAAGUUAUGGCCAUUUGAAGUUUAUAUGCUCUUUAAUUGAAUAUUUGCGAAUUUCUUCAUUUAAAUUUUAAUUUAAAAUCGGAAUUAUUGCGUCAGCCGAGGGGAGAGGGCGCGCGGACCGGGUCCACGGGAGUGGGGCCCACGCGGCAGCCUCACGGUCCACGGUGGACCGGGUGCACCCGGCUCACACCGGCCGGCGCCGUGGGUCCCACGCGUCAGCCGCACCCGAGGGCCCGGGCGGCUUACGGCCGGGCCCCACACGGCAGCCACUCGACGCGCCCGAGGGCGGCCAAGCCAGCGCGGCCGGCGGGAGGCGGCGCGCCCGCGUCCCGAUGGUCGCCGCCGGCGACCACCGGCGCGGCGGAGCGGCGGCCGAGAGAAGGGAGGGAAGGGGGAAAGGAGGCGACGGUCCACGGCUCACCCCGGGGCGACGGCGGCGACGGAGGAGGCGGCCGGAGCGGAGGGAGGUGGUGGCGCGGCUCGGGUCGACGGGGACGACGGCGCUCCGGCGGUCGGCGACCGAAACGGAGAGGUGGACGAGGUCGGCGAGGAUGCGGCGAAGCCGAAGGAGGCGGCACCGAGGUGGGAGGCGGUCCGGGGUGACGACGGCGGCGGACCGGAGCUCGGCGGCGACGGCGGAGAGAGAGAGCGACGUCGCGAGCUCAAAUCCGGCGAGGAGGAAGGGCGGCGAGAGGCGGAACCGGACGGAGGAGGUGCGGGGAGGGUUUAAAUAGAGCCGGGGCGAGAGAGGGUGGCCGGGGAAGGGAGGAAACCGGCGCGGGAGGUCGCCGUCAUCAAUGGCGCCGGCGAGAUUUGCGGGGGCAAAUCCGCCCGUUUGAACGCGGGAGAGAGAGGGAGAAAUGGGGGGAAAGAGAGAGGGGAUCGCGGGGAAUAAUUCCCCCCACUUUAAUGCGCGCGGGGACGCGGGAGCGGCGGGAUUCGCGCAGCGGCGNGCUAGGCGCGGCAGGCGCGGGAGCGCGGGAGGAUAGGGAUGACAGGUGGGCCCCACCCGUCAGCGAGGGUGGCGGGCGGGCCCGCCCGUCAGCGGCGCGCUCGGGGAGAGGCCGAGUGGGCCGCGGGGAGGAGGAGAGAGAGGGAAGGAGAUGCCGAGCCGGCCCAAGAGGGGGAGGGGGGAGAAAAAGACUUUUUAGGGUUUUUCUUUUUAUAAAAUCAUUUUAACUUUGUUUAUUUCUUAAUAAUUAUUAUUUGUGCUCUGAAAAUUCCACUAAAAUUUGAGGGCUCCUUUUAGACCAAGGAGAAUUUAACAAAAAUUCUCCGGGCCACAUUUGAAUUUUUCUUGUACGUAUUUUAGUGUUUGUCAAUUUCUUUUCGAAUUUUAAUUAAUUCUAUUAUUCCUUUUAGCGAAUGAUUUUUAAUUCGGGAUGAAUUUAUCAGGACGUGACAUUAACCCAACGCUAUACAACAUACCCUGUUGCAUAGGCCCAACCAUUCUGAACAACCAUCCCGGCUGCACAGUUCUAUCUCCAAACCAGGAAUAUACCAUUCCAAACCAUCCCGGUUGGCACGGUUAAUGUUUCACAGCCGAAACUCGUGAACCGGUCCUUAAUUGUCAUGAGCACGACCAUCAAAACCAUGUGCUCACAACCCACCAUUAUCAGGUUUUAGUUGGCAAAUUAAUUAAUUAACCAAUCACGAUUGACCAUCGUGAGCUAUCAUUAAGACAUCAUUAAAUAAUAGUGAAUUAUAAGUUAUCCCAAUAGUGUGCUAAUGUUUCUAAGCAUGGCUAAGCAAUCAUAUCUAAUAUCUAGCUGAACCAAUAUAUAAAGCCCAACUAGUCAAGUUAUAAUAACCCAAGGUAUCAAGGAAUAAAGUAAUCAAGAACAAAAGGGCUAUAACAAACAAUAGGUUAAUUUCACCCAAUGACAUUCGAAAAUAAAUGCAAUAGUUGAAUAGAAACAAUAGCUUUAAACGGGAUCAACAUGCUCAAAGGGUUGUUUGGGAUCUGUGUGACUUGCCUUGCUGUCACGCCUAGAAAUUCACGAACCAGAAUUUCUAAGCUGAAUGUGCAUUAAACCCCUGUCCAGGACCAGCCAGGGUACACAAACGACAAUUGUUGACAUACAGAUCCACGUCUUACAAAAAUAUAAAAGAUUACAAAUGCAGCGGAAAAAGAUAAAAGCGAGCUAAGCCUGAAGACUUGACUCCUGCAGCGGGCGACUCCAUUCCACAGGCAAUCCUUGACGGCAGCGACGAAACCAACCUCUUCGAGACAUCUUCAACUGGGAAGGACUUCAACUCUGGUGUGGGGGAAAAGAGAGCAAGACUGAGUACUACCCACUGUACUCAGCAAGUCACACCAGAAGAGGAGGUAUGAUGCAAGAUAUAUCCAAGGGGGGCUAAAGGUUCUUUUGCAUAAAGCCGGCAUUUCAAAGCAGUAGUUGAAAGCAGUAAAACAGUUGUAGUAAUUAAUCCAUAUUAACCAAUCACUGUCCAACGUUACACCACGUUGCAACAGGCCCAAACCACCACCUGAACUAACCAGUUCCAAAAGCUAACUAGGGUGAAACUAAUCACGGUGAAUCUGGUCGACCGCCCAUAACCGCGGGCACGGCUAUUCGAAUAGUUUUACUCUGAUCAGAGGUGUACAACUGUACCCACAAGACACAGCCCCACGACACGUUCCCGUGCGCCGACAUGCCACCACGACAUACCGGAAAGAGGCCGUGACAGGACCCUUCGUAUAACCCCCUCUAACCGAUCGCACCACACCUUAGGGUUCGCCCCCGUCCCCAGCAGGCAACGGGCAGCCCCCCUUUCGUGCCACGGUGAAUCCGGCAGCCGAUCAACCGGACACCCCGGCCGACCCAACUCCAUCACGCCCACCCUCGCCUGGGUACGUCGGCUAGAGAAAAGCUACACUACAAGCCCAGCCGUUGCCCACGCUGGCUUGUGGUAAGUACGAUAAAUUCUUCCAGGGCAUCCCGCGAACCGGUCCUUAAUCGCCAUGGGCACGUCUAGCAAAACCAUGCACCCACAGCCCACCAUGUAGUGUAUUUUAAUUAGCCAACACCAUUGCGGUGGCACUAAUCCAAAGCUAUUGCCAAUAAUCAAGUCUAUGCUUUAAUGUGGUCCCCUUUUGUGCACUAGUUGAACUAAGCAUGGCUAAGCAUCUCCUAAACCAACAUCUGGUCAUUUUAAUACCCAAGUUAUCAAUGGCAUAAGGGAAACAACAUAUAGCUGAGUAAUAGGACCCAUCCCACAUGAUAUUGUAAAACAAUGCAAUAUUUAAUAGAAAUGCGGGACAUUUGUAAAUUAGGUGCAAUAUGAUCAAUUGCAAUGUAUGACUUGCCUUGCUCUCGCACUGAUGGAACCACAGCAACGUCUUCGAGAAACCACGAAUCGACGAAACGGCCAAAAUCUACGCGACAAACAAAGCACACAAGCAAAACAUGCUAUAAGACUACUGAAACAGGAAGCAAAACCAUUUUUAAUGGAUUCUACACAUUUUUAUGAAUUUACUGAGACUUGAAUGGACUUAAUCGGAGCUCGGAUGAAUUAGUUAUGAUUUUUAGAAGAUUAUAUGUGUUUAUUACUAUAAAAGAAAAACCCUUAAUCAAUUUAUUGCGCAAUAAUUCACCCCAGGGCUGACGUCAGCAAGGGGUGGGGCGGCGCCGACAUGCGGGCCCCACUGGUCAGCGGCACAAGGGGAGAGGGAGGGGUACUGGCAGGCGGGGCCCACCGGGCAGUGGCACAAGGCGGGAGGGGCGCGGCUGGUGGCUCGGCUCGGCUUCAAGCCGGCCGGCCGGUUAUGGCGAGGGCGGCGGCGCGCGCGCCCGGUUGCCAGCGACGGCAACCGGCGACGGGAGGCGGCGGCGGACGGCGCAAAGACGGCGGCGGCAGCCGAAGCGGCGGCGCGAGCGACCCUAGCGGCGGCGCUACGCGGCGGGCGGCGCGGCAAAGGGAGAGAGAGGAAGAGAGGGGGAGACCGAUCCUCACCGAGGGGCUCGGCCGGCGCGAGGGAGGAGCGACGGCGAACGGCAACGACGAGAGACGGGAGGAUGACGGCGACGGGCUCCGGGAGGACCUAGAGAAAAGGUUGGGAGGGGUUAGAGAGAGGGAGGUGGUCCAUGGCGCACGACAUAACCGAUCGAAGGCGGCGGCAAUGGUGGAAGCUCACCGGAGUGCGAGGAGAUGCGAGCUCCGGCGAUGGAAUUGGACGGGAGAACAGCGGACGAGGUGGACCUCGGGAUGGCGGACGCGGCGGUGCCGAUGGCGGGGUGCGGCGGCGACCCUAGCGGCUGCUAGAGGCGGCCGGAGCGGUGGAGAUGGCGGCGGCGGGUGGGCGCACGGUGCUAGGGCGAUAGGGAGCUCGGGAGCGGACGGCAAAAGAGGGAAAAAGGUGGAGAGAGGCGCGGUGGUCGGUUAUAUAGAGGUGGGGAGGCCGGACGUGGCCGGGAGCGGCGGUUCCGCGGCGACGACGUGGAGAGGUGGAGGAGGAGAGAGAGGGGGAGAGUAUUCAAAUCGAAUCCCGCCCUCUCGAGCGCGCGCACGGGCCGUGAGAUGCGGGGAGAGGGCGGCGACGUGGGCGUGCGGUACGGGCGGAGUGGGCGCGGGAAACGGGGAAACCGGCGGCGUCGGUGGCGGUUUCGGCGGCGGCGGCGCCGUCGGCUGGAGGAGGAAGAAGGGGCCGACAGGUGGGCCCCACCUGUCGGUGACCCGGAGAGAGGAGGGAGGGAGUGGGCCGGCCCAGCUGAGAGGAGGGCGAGCGCGCGGGAGGCGAACGGACUGGGCCGACGGCCCAAGAAGAGAGAAAAAGGAGGAAAAAGAAAAAGAAGAAAAGAUUUUCCAGGGAUUUAAUAUUGCACUUUGCUUAUUUUAAUUGGUUAAAAUUAUUUCCAAGGCUCUGAAAAUUCCACUAAAAAUCCUGUUAGCAUAUUUUGACAUGUAGAAUCCAAGAGAAAUUCUACAUGUCGAUUCCGAUUAUUAUUUGCAUUUAUUACUUAGGGAUUCAUCUCUAGGUUAAAUUAAACAAUUUCUUCGAAUGAUUUAUUUUAUGAAUUUAGAGUAAGGGAGGGGUACUUCAGGGCGUGACACUUGCUGGCCUUGGAACUCUUCAAAUUCUUCUCCUGCGAAAACGGACUCUCCGGAAACGUCGGAAUCUAAACAGAAAGGAGCAAAACACCAAAACAGCACAUUAACAAGCAUGAACAGUACAUGUAGAUAUUUUUAACAUGUAGAUCUCAAUUUUAGAAAAAUUUAGAGACUUGAACCAACUAAAUCCGAGCUAAGAUGAAUUAGUUAUGAAUUUUCAAAGAUUAAAUCGGUUUAAAACACUUAUAUAGAUUUUAAUUGAAUUAUGACGCAAUAAUGAAUUAUUUUUGAAAAGGAAAAGGGAAUUAUUG
rnacentral:lncRNA from 1 species